GGCAGAAGCUUCACCAACUGGUCAGUGCGUGCGUCCGUCUGUCCGUCUGAGUGGGAUCUGGGAUGGGGUCUGGCUGGGAUGGGGUUGGGUUUCUCAUCCUGCUCCCUCCUGUGCUACGAAGAUGAGCAGGGCUGCAGCACCUCCACUAUGAGGACAGGCUGAGGGAGCUGGGCUUGUUCAGCUUGGAGGAAAGAAGGCUGAGGGGUGAAUCAGUGCAGCCUUCAGCACCUCAAGGGAGGUCCCUACGGAUCUCCAUGUGUCCCUGUAGUGUCCCUGUGGGCCUCCAUCUAUCCUUAUGGCAUCCCUAUGGAGUCCCUAUUGCGUCCCUGUGGGUCUGCCUGUAUACCUAUGGAGUCCCUAUGUGUCUCCAUGUGUCCCUGUGGUGUCCCUAUGGGUCUCCAUGUAUCCCUAUGGUUUCCCUAUGGUGUCCCUAUGGGUCUCCAUGUAUCCCUAUAGUUUCCCUAUUGGUCCCCAUGUAUCCCUAUGGUGUCCCUAUGGGUCUCCAUGUAUCCCUAUGGUGUCCCUAUGGGUCUCCAUGUAUCCCUAUGGCGUCCCUAUGGUGUCCCUGAGGUGUCCUUAUGGGUCUCCAUGUAUCCCUAUAGUUUCCCUAUUGGUCCCCAUGUAUCCCUAUGGUGUCCCUGUAGUGUCCCUAUGGGUCUCCAUGUAUCCCUAUGGUGUCCCUAUGGUGUCCCUAUGGGUCUCCAUGUAUCCCUACGGUGUCCCUAUGGAGUCCCUACAGUUCUCCAUGUGUCCCUAAGGUGUCCCUAUGGGUCUCCAUGUAUCCCUAUAGUUUCCCUAUUGGUCCCCAUGUAUUCCUAUGGUGUCCCUAUGGCAUCCCUAGGGGUCUCCAUGUAUCCCUAUGGUGUUCCUAUGGUGUUCCUAUGGCGUCCCUAUGGUGUCCCUAGGGGUCUCCCUGUAUCCCUAUGGUGCCCCCAUGGCCCUGCAUGGCACAGGGGUUGGACCUCCAUCAUCCGUGAGGCCGUUCCAGCCCUGGCCACGGUGUGCUUCUGCACUCAGGUCGCAGCCCUCCGGCCGAGGCCCCUGCGGGUACCUGGGCAGCGCGGGGCUCAGCUCCACACUGUGCCACCAUGAGAAGCC
rnacentral:lncRNA from 1 species